CUGCUGGUCCCACUGCUGUCUUGCCACCACAUCAGCGAGAGGACCUGACUGCUGUGACCACCAGGUGGAACUUCAGCCCCAGGCUUCCGCUUGCCUGCUGCCUUCUUUACAACCAGCUCCUGCUGCCAUUCCAGCUCCAGAGAAUAUAAUGCCACAAAACCUUCAGUAAAACCAGAGCCUGGAGGAAAUAUCAGGUGUUAACAUCCAAUAAAAAGCUAACACGCUUGAGUGACCUGGGAUUGUAAGGUACCUCUUGCACGGCCCAAACAAGGACUGACCUAAUGCAGUGGUUUUAUGAUGAUGGCAGGUAAGAACUAAUUACAGAUCCUGGACUCCAUCAUGAACUGACUUGUCAAGUUAACUUACCGCCUGAAGUACCUACAACUACAUUGCAGGGGCUUUCUACUCCUCUGUAUAACUGAAUGCAGUUGCUCCUGAAGGAACAUGUCCUACAGAUUUCUAGGAGGCAGACACGGGAAUAGGCACCAAGCCAGCUGAAUUAAGUAUCUUCUUGUGGGAUCAGGAGUAACAACCCGAGAGCUGCCUCACUAAAGACAACGAGAGUGGAGCACUGUUGUUCUUUUGGGAAAGUCUCUGCCCCCGCAUCCAGCUUGCACCGUUAUAUAAGACUUGAACUACAUCCCCCUUCUCCACGGCCGCUCACAACGCGCUGGGAGCUGAAGCCAGAUGGAGAAAGGUUCCGUCAGGAAAGUUUAACUCAGCGGGGAAGCUGCAGCCAGUGGAGGACACGAUUUUCUCGCUGAACUCUCCAAAAGCCUUGGAAUUACAGUUGUGUCAUAUGCUGGUUUGGGGAAUGCUAGCAGUCCGGAGGCAGCUGCCAGCCCUCUUUCACUUCUUUAUUUAAUUUUUUUUUUUCACUUUGCACUGAGUUUAAUUUGGGUAGCAGGAUUCAGCAUUUUUAAGUUGGAAAAAACUUGGUGGAAGAAGAUAUUUUAGGAAAGCCCUGUCAUGUGAACUAGUGGGAGCCGAUCAAACCGAGCUAUUAAAAGAAAGACAUUGUAUUUUUAAA